rnacentral:lncRNA from 1 species
UUUUUUAAAUAAAUGUAUUGGUCUUGUUUAGUCUUUGAUUGUCACAAAGAAUGUGAGAUUUUGUCCUGUUGUAUUUCUUAGCUGUUAUAUUGUAGUUACCUUCAUUUAUCUGUCAAAGAAGAAGAGAUAAGAAUGCAUAUAUCAUUUCAGAUUGUCUGAAUUUUUAAAAAUAUACAUUCUAUUGGGACACACAGAGACAGAGAGAGAGGUGGGAGUCAUGUAUCACCAAUUAUGGAAAAAGGCACAACUAUCAAAAUUUCUUCAUGACAGAGGCUUCCCUGAAGGCUAGGUUUAGAUGAGGAACUUAUGCAGGACACUUCAUGCACCAACCAGAUUGAAAUAUUAUUAAAGAUGAACAUAACGAAAGGCUAUUUUUGUAGAAUAGAGUAAUUGAGCAAAAAAAAAUUUGUAGUGUUGGAGUUUUAAAGACGAGAGGAAGCAGGCCAAUGAAACUUAACAGGUUCUAAUAUAAUUGGUACAAGGCCCAAACGUUUGCUAAAGUAUUAUCCAAAUAUGUUCCAUUUGCUUCUUCAGAGCUUGCCGAUCAUUUGAUAUAAAGUUGGUGCAUACGUUCACCAUGCAUUAUGGAGUUCAAUACAUCUAGCUGAAAGAGAGGCCAUUGAUGAGUGGUGACAAGAGAAGGAACACAACAAAUUAUAAACAUUUCGGUGAAAAGACCAAUGCUUGAAAAUUUACAUAACUUU